rnacentral:tRNA from 1 species
GCGGGUGCUUACAUACCAAUGAUAGUAAAGCAGCUUCCCAAGCUGAGAACGAGGGUUCGAUUCCCUUCACCCGCUCCA